CAUUUUCAAUAUCAUUAUUAAAUAUAAAUUCUCACCAAAGAAUUCUAUAGAACUCUGAGAAAAGAGCCCUUACUACCACUACUCUGUGGAUGAAGUAUUGUUCUACAAUGUAUUGGAUUCUCUAGGAUGGAAAUCUAGGUGCACAGCUCUGAGCUUGGGUGUAGAAACUGCUUUAGCACCCAUGUUGUAAAGGCUCCCCAGAAGACAGAUGACUAUACAGCAAUCUCCAGGUGGAUGCUUCUAGCUUUGAUGGUGACCUCAUGAGUUCUGAAGGUGUAAAUCCACAGCCUUCGUGAUAUUUACAUCUGAAGGGUUUAUUUACAUCCAGAAUUCC